GAUGAACGCUGGCGGCGUGCCUAAUACAUGCAAGUCGAACGGAGAUUGUAGCAAUACAUUCUUAGUGGCGAACGGGUGAGUAAUGUAUCGGAACGUGCCCAGUCGUGGGGGAUAACGUAGUGAAAAUUACGCUAAUACCGCAUACGAUCUAUGGAUGAAAGCGGGGGAUCGCAAGACCUCGCGCGAUUGGAGCGGCCGAUAUCAGAUUAGGUAGUUGGUGGGGUAAAGGCCCACCAAGCCAACGAUCUGUAGCUGGUCUGAGAGGACGACCAGCCACACUGGAACUGAGACACGGUCCAGACUACUACGGGAGGCAGCAGUGGGGAAUUUUGGACAAUGGGCGAAAGCCUGAUCCAGCCAUUCCGCGUGCAGGAUGAAGGCCCUCGGGUUGUAAACUGCUUUUGUACAGAACGAAAAGGUUUCUACUAAUACUAGGAGCUCAUGACGGUACUGUAAGAAUAAGCACCGGCUAACUACGUGCCAGCAGCCGCAGUAACAC
rnacentral:rRNA from 1 species